CACCCCCUCUCCGGCCCACCCCCUAACCAGCAAAAUAAAGGCAGCUGCUGGGGGCUGGCAGAGAACAGAGACCCAGAGACAGGCAGUGAGAAGGUAGCUGACCAAGCCACAGAACAGAACCCACCCACGCGAGACUCUCCAGCAGGAGGACCGACGCUUAGGCCACACCUGCUACAGACCCCAAACACCCCACCAGCCAAGCCACCUGCUACAGACCCCAAACACCCCACCAGCCAAGCGGAACCCUCGAUUAGAGAUGAGCUCUCGGGUCCAGUUGGCUUCAGCCAUGAGGAACCCCAGCAGGAAAUGGAGAAGGAAGAGAGUGAGAUGAGGCACCUGAUCGCCUGGUGACCUGCCUGCGAGUCCCCCAUGGGUUGUGUGUAUUCUUCAAGAGGCCAUUGUUCCUCCAAAGGCAGCCUCUUCUACCAGUUUCCUCCCUUCUGAUCAUGUCCCCAGUUCUCUCCCCUCUUGCUUCAGAUCAAAUGGCAGAAACAACUCUGCUGCUGCUCACACAGGUUGUCACACUGUCCCGUGGGGUGCUCCUACAUCCACAUGUGUGUAAAUAAGCCCUCCCCAAAUAAACCAGUUUUGAG
rnacentral:lncRNA from 1 species